rnacentral:lncRNA from 1 species
GCGACCUCGGAAGCAUUGUGCUGAGUGACAUAAGCCAGAAACAAAAGGACAAAUGUUGUAUGAUUCUACUUGCAUCAGAUAUCUAGAAGAGCCUAAUUCACAGACAGAAAGUACAUUCUAGGGUCUCACUCUGUCACCCAGGCAAUGGCACGAUCUCGGCUCACUGCAGCCUCGACCUCCCGGGCUCAAGCCAUCCUCCCACCUUGGCCUCCCAAAGGGCUGGGAUUACAGGCAUGAGCCACCGUGCCUGGCCAAAUCCAACAAUUUAUUUUAAAAAGAUAAUACUGUACACCAUGAUCAAGUGGGAUAUUUCCCAGGACUGAAAGAUUGGUUUAACAGCCAGAACUCAAUUAAUGUAAUAAAUCAUAUUAAUAAAAUAAAGGACAAAAGCCACAUGAUCAUCCCAACUGAUAUAGAAAAUCCAUUUGACAAAAUCUGACACCCAUUUAUAAUUAAAAAAAAACUUUCAACAAACCAGAAAUGAGAGUGAACCUCCUCAACCUAGCAAUGGAAUCUAUGGAAACCUACAGCACGCUUCCUGGGGAAAGCCUGACCGUCUCGAAUCUAUGGAAACCUACAGCACGCUUCCUGGGGAAAGCCUGACCGUCUCCCCACGGAAGGGAGCAAGUCAAGGGGACCCUCCCCUCCCGCUCCUCCCACACUGCACAGCGGGUUCCAGCCAGGGCAGUGAGGCAAGAACAUGGAACUCAAAUCACCGAGAUUAGCAAAAAAGAUGUAGAAGUACGCCUCACGCCGUAGGUGGAAUCGCCUAAGGAAUCUACAAAGAUAAAAUAAAAUGAAGUAAAACCUGAUAAGAUGAUCGAAGGAGUUUAACAAGAUCAUGGGGCGUAGGAUAUUUCUGCACUGACAGUGAACACCCCAAGAUGAAAUGCAGAAAGCGUCCUGGUCAAAUAGCAUCAGAAAGAAUAAGCUACUUAGGAAUAAUUUCGCAAAGGAAGUGUGAGACUUGUACGCUGCAAACUGCGAAACAUGGCUGGUAAAAAGACCCAAAGAAAACCUGAACAGAUGGAGAGACUUCCCACAUCGAGGCUGAAAGGCUGAACCCUGCGCAGACGGCGGGGCUCCCGCGGUGCUCCGUGUGGCCUUCAUCCCCCUCUGGCCGUGUUCCCUCCCCGGCUCAGAGCCACUCCUCCUAGUUACCACCCUCGGCCCUCCCUCUGCAAGCCCAGGAUGCCCGGGCCACAGGCCGGUGAGCUGGGGAUCCAGCCUCUCCUGGCGUUUUACCCACGUAGGUGACAACUGACGGCACUGGAGCAGAGAGGCUGACUGCCCGAGGAGACCAGGGAGGCUUGGACCCCAGGCUGGAGGGGGCCGGGGACCCAGACCCACUCACUUGAUUUGGAAGGACACAGGGCUGUCAAACCUAUGCAGGGUCAUCACACCCGGCCCUUCGUUUGUCCCUUUUCGGCCAAGCUCAGGACCCUGUAACCCAGGAAGACAAGCUCGUGGUUCUGAGAUGACCCAGGGAAUUGGCCAAUCCCACCCGAAACCCUUGUUCCUUCCUCUGGUCAUUGACGUUCCUCCCAGACGGCUUCGAGAGCCCCGCAGAUCCUUCCACUACUCCCCAGCCUAGAAGAUCCAGGGACAGAAGCCCUCGAGGUUCUGGCUGGGCCCACGUGCUGAGAUGCCUCUGAGAAAGCUGUCUUUCCAUGGUGGAUCCCGCUGGAUGCCCGUGAACACGGGGCCAGCUUGCAGAGAGCUGGAAGGAGGCCUCCUGGCGGCACCCAGGCCUGACACAGAUUUCAUUUCUGAUUGCGGAAUUUUACUCUCAAACCAAAAGAUGCUACAUGCCGCUCCUGACGCCGUGGCACGGAAUCACGCUGCGCGUCCCUUGUUUCCGGAUUUCUCUUCUGUGGCUUAUUGAUGGCACUCAAGCACCGCACAGCAAUGACGUCUGUCCUGGCAGGGCACACGCACUCUGCGUCUGAAUGAGUAUUGAGCUAAUUCCAAAGCCCAGCAGAGACGUGGGCGCGCGUUUAUCUGGAGGAGACCAGGCGCGCCAUGGUUGGCUCUGGCCGCGGGACCCUGGGCUGAGCACCGACCCAGGCCACCCCAAGUCACCAAAAGAGGGUAGGGAGGGGUGGACAAAAGUAUUUAUUUUGCCUAUUUUCUUGCCAGUGUCCAGAUUCAAAUGUACUGUUUUUAAACUACAUUAGCACUUUCUGCCCUGUGGCCUGCAAUGAUUGUGCUGUGAUUA